rnacentral:lncRNA from 1 species
CCAUUCAAAUAUAGAAAAAUGUGGCAUUCGUCUUGUUCGAUUGAUCCAUUACUCCUUACUUCAAUGAUGUUGCGGAUCAGGACCUCUGGGACUCGCCCUCAUAAGCUCAUAAUAGCUUCCUUGCAUGUUAUCUCCCUUUCCAUAGUCUUCACGUAAUGGUCGAACCACCGGACUAUUUGUCUUCCCUCGGUUCACGACAUGGGAAACUCGUGCACGGGAGCUCGGAAGCGAAAGCAAUAUCAGCAUUAGGCACAGAUAAAUCUUGAACUCGCCCA